rnacentral:lncRNA from 10 species
GGAAGCAAAUCUUUUGCCUGGAUUUCUUAGAUUACAAGAAUUGGCUGACAGAAAUGUGACUGUUCUCUUUCUCAGUGAAAUUGUUUGGGAAAAGUUUCGUCCAAAUACUGGAUGCUUUGAGCCGUUUGUCUUAUAUUUCCCUGAUUACAGCAUAGGCAACCUUCAAAAGAUCCUGUCCCAUGAUCAUCCUCCAGAGUAUUCAGCUGAUUUCUAUGCUGCCUACAUUAACAUUCUUCUUGGAGUUUUCUACACUGUUUGUCGAGAUUUGAAAGAGCUCAGACAUCUGAAAGAAGCAGGGUCUUGCCAUGUUGUCCAGGCUGGAGUGCAGUGGCUGUUCACAGGUGCAGUCACAGCACACUACAGGCUUGAUCUCCUGGGCUCAAGCAAUCCCCCUGCCUCAGCCUCCUGAGUAGCUGGGAUUACAGGCACAUGCCACUGCGUAUAAUUACAUUUGACUUGAGCAAAUGUGUUAAGUAAAAUUUCCUGAACUGCAAUACAGAUUUUACUUGAAAAAUAAAUUUCUAAUUG